UGACACGCAGUUGGCCGCUCUAGAAAUAGGUCUCUCUUUUGGGACAAUUGCAC
rnacentral:rRNA from 1 species